UCUGAAAGAAGCCAAGUUUUCACUCAGC
rnacentral:piRNA from 1 species